CCUACGUGAGGCAGCAGUGGGGAAUAUUGCGCAAUGGGCGAAAGCCUGACGCAGCGACGCCGCGUGAGGGCUGAAGGUCUUCGGAUCGUAAACCUCUGUCAGCAGGGAAGAACGGUCACUGUGCUAAUCAGCAGUGAAUUGACGGUACCUGCACAGGAAGCACCGGCUAACUCCGUGCCAGCAGCCGCGGUAAUACGGAGGGUGCGAGCGUUAAUCGGAAUUACUGGGCGUAAAGCGCUCGUAGGCGGUAUGUCAAGUCAAGGGUGAAAUCCCCGCGCUCAACGUGGGAACUGCCUUUGAAACUGGCAAACUGGAGUGUGUGAGAGGAUAGUGGAAUUCCAGGUGUAGGAGUGAAAUCCGUAGAUAUCUGGAGGAACAUCAGUGGCGAAGGCGACUAUCUGGCACAUAACUGACGCUGAGGAGCGAAAGCGUGGGUAGCAAACAGGAUUAGAUACCCUUGUAGUC
rnacentral:rRNA from 1 species